GAACCUUACCUGGGCUCGAAAUGUACAUGAAUCCGGCAGAAGCGUCGGCGGCUCGCAAGAGACAUGUAUAUAGGUGCUGCAUGGCUGUCGUCAGCUCGUGUCGUGAGAUGUUGGGUUAAGUCCCGCAACGAGCGCAACCCUUAUCUUCAGUUGCUACCAUUUAGUUGAGCACUCUGACGAAACCGCCUCGGAUAACGGGGAGGAAGGUGGGGAUGACGUCAAGUCCUCAUGGCCUUUAUGUCCAGGGCUACACACGUGCUACAAUGGCCGGUACAAACCGCUGCAAACCCGCGAGGGGGAGCUAAUCGGAAAAAGCCGGCCUCAGUUCGGAUUGGAGUCUGCAACUCGACUCCAUGAAGCUGGAAUCGCUAGUAAUCGUGGAUCAGCAUGCCACGGUGAAUACGUUCCCGGGCCUUGUCACACCGA
rnacentral:rRNA from 1 species